GUGCCAGCCGCGGCGGUAAUACGUAGGUGGCGAGCGUUGUCCGGAAUUAUUGGGCGUAAAGCGCGCGCAGGCGGCCUUUAAGUCCAUCUUAAAAGCGUGGGGCUCAACCCCAUGAGGGGAUGGAAACUGGGAGGCUGGAGUAUCGGAGAGGAAAGCGGAAUUCCUAGUGUAGCGGUGAAAUGCGUAGAGAUUAGGAAGAACACCAGUGGCGAAGGCGGCUUUCUGGACGACAACUGACGCUGAGGCGCGAAAGCGUGGGGAGCAAACAGGAUUAGAUACCCUGGUAGUCCACGCCGUAAACGAUGGAUACUAGGUGUAGGAGGUAUCGACCCCUUCUGUGCCGGAGCUAACACAAUAAGUAUCCCGCCUGGGAAGUACGGCCGCAAGGCUAAAACUCAAAGGAAUUGACGGGGCCCGCACAAGCGGUGGAGUAUGUGGUUUAAUUCGACGCAACGCGAAGAACCUUACCAAGUCUUGACAUUGAUCGCAAUCCCUAGGAAACAGGGAGUUCCCCUUCGGGAGACGAGAAAACAGGUGGUGCACGGCUGUCGUCA
rnacentral:rRNA from 1 species